UUCGAAUUCUCAGCGUGAAUUAUUUCUCUCUCAGGCGAUAUUCUUCGUCUCCUUUUUUGUUGUUCGAUUUCUCGAUGUGAAUUUGCUGAGAUUUGUUAUGGAAGUUUCAGUUUCACCUAAAACUAUGUGGUUGUUAAGUUUCUCGUUAAAUCGGACAUUGAGACUUGAGAGAAUCGAUUUGGGUGUAAAAUGAUCAUUGAAGAAUCUCAUAAAUGUUAUUUAGACCACCCGAUCCUAAAGUUACCUUGGAGAAUGCACAGAGCUCAUUUUUGUGAAGCUUGAUCGCUGCUUUCGACAAGAGAAAGCUGUAAAACGGAAAGCAAGAAACUUUAAGAAAGAUUGAAAGGUGAAAAGGAAAGAGCAGAUUGCAGAGAGGUCAACUAAAAUUAAAGACCAGUUAAAACAGUAUAAUGCUUCUUCGUACCCUAAACUUUCACUAGGAUAAUAUCC